CAAUGUUUAAGAAGGAACUGCAAAUGCUACAAAAUCGGAGGUAGACAAAAAUUCUGGAGAAACUCAGCGGGUGAGGCAGCACCUAUGGAGCGAAGGAAAUAGGCAAUGUUUCAGGUUGAGACCCUUCUUCUGAUACAAAGACAGUUACCUGAAAUGUAAUUCGAAAUGGAGUUGGGAAGAUUGCAAAUUAGUCAGACGAAACUGAAGUGUUUCAGUCUGAAGGAAUAGUCUCGACACAGUAGAUGAGGUGUUGCCUGACCCCGCUGAGUUCCUCCCAACAUUCUUCUUUGUUUUUUUAUUGUUGCUCAAAACACGUAGUACUGUUCAUCACAUUUACCUUGGGCCUCGUCAACACUUGCUCAUUUUACCAAGUAAUCUUGCUACUCACUGGGGUCAGUGGGAGGUUGUAACCUUCACGUGGUCCGCCCUGUUUAAACGAAUGCAAUCAACCUGGCGUGCACAAUCAAAUAAGAUCAAAUAGAACAAGUUGUCCUACAACAUUAGGCUGUGCACGCCAUACGCAAGAAGAAGAAGCUACUCACUCUCCAAAGAGCCCAAUUCUGCCCAAACGUCUCCUGUCACUCGAGGGGUGGAGACUCCCCAAGAGGGAAGGGAUCCAGGUCCUGAAUGAAUAGCAGGUCCAGACGCUAGGUGGGGCAACAUUGAAGCUUUCCGAAAGCAGCUGAAGGCAAGCAACAGAGACACGUGUUAACGUGCUUUGGAGGCGUUUCACUGAAAUAGAUCAGCUGACCGUGGCUCCUGUGCCUUUACUCUGGAAAUGCAGGCGAUGCUACUCCCGAUGAGCCGACUCCCUGAGGUACAAGGAAAAACAAAAACAUUUAAAAUUAAUCUGCACAGCCCUCUACAUAACGGCAAUGGAAGUGGAGUAGAUCUGAAUCACUGAAUGCACACCGUUCCAGUGGCAAAUCCGAAAACAGCACAAUAGAAACACCACCAUCAGCUAGGAUCAACGUCAAAGGAGAAGAAGCGAAGCAUGAACGGAAAUUAAAUCACUGCAAGACCCAUGUACAGGAGGCCACACCAGGAACACUGGCUGCAGUAGAUGAGGCUAGAAGAGAUGCAUGUGCAUCUGUCUCCUCUGGAAGGACUGCUGGGGUGUUCUUCUUUAAAUUGUUCAAUUGACAUUCCAUUGAAGUUUGUGAAACCAGGUGGCCCUUAAAAAUCAAUAACAAGAUGAAUGUUCUACCUUCAGAUGCAGUGAUA